GUGGUCACUUCGGAAGCACAUAUAUUAAAAUCGUAAUGAUACAGAGAAGAUUAGCAUGGCCUCUGCACAAGGAUGACACGCACGUUUGUGAAGUUUUCCUAUUUUUC
ensembl:snRNA RNU6-1037P RNA, U6 small nuclear 1037, pseudogene